rnacentral:rRNA from 2 species
UCCGUAGGUGAACCUGCAGAUGGAUCAUUA